rnacentral:lncRNA from 1 species
ACUUUCAUAGUGUUGAACAAAGGCAAAGCAAUCUUCCGUUUCAAUGCCACACCUGCUUUGUACAUGCUCUCUCCUUUCAGUCCUCUCAGAAGAAUAUCUAUUAAGAUUUUAGUACAUGCAUAUCCUUUUAAAAAUGCUUACUUACAGUGGUUCUUUAAAAUGUAGUUUUUGGCUAUUUUAUUUAAAUACAGAGUUUUAUUUCUUUUCUACCUGAAAAGACUCAGGUUUAUCAAUCUCAAUAUAAUUUGGUGUAGAUCUCUGAAUAGAUUGGGAGUAUGACAAUUUUGGGCUUCCCAGGUGGUGCUAGUGGUAAAGAACUCACCAGCUAAUGCAAGAGACAUAAGAGAUGCAGGUUUGAUCCCUGGGUCAGGAAGAUCCCCUGGAGGAGGGCAUGGCAACCCACUCCAAUAUUCUUGCCUGGAGAACCCCAUGGACAGAGGAGCCUGGUGAGCUACAGUCCAUAGGUUUGCAAAGAGUUGGACAUGACUGGAGUGACUUAGCUUGCAUGCAUGCAUUCAUUAUAUCAUCAUCAUCAUGGCAAUUUUAGUAUUUUAGGAUAAAUUGCUUUUAUCCAUUACUCUUUUGUUCAGAGAGGUUUUUUUUUUUAAGUCUUUAGACUCUUUUAGAAUUAUUUUCUAAGGAAAAAUUGUCAGCAUUUCAACAAAUGUCAUUAUCAGAUAAAGUUACCAUGUAUUGUUUGAUCAUAUUCCUUGAUUCUAAGCUACCGCAUUCAGCAUGCUUAUCAUGUGCACUAUUUUGACGAACUGCAUAUUUAUGACCAUGAGUAAUCCUCCAGACUGGACCAAGAAUGUAGAGUACACUUUUACUGGAAUAUAUACUUUUGAGUCACUUGUGAAAAUCCUUGCAAGAGGAUUCUGUGUAGGAGAAUUCACUUUUCUUCGUGACCCAUGGAACUGGCUUGAUUUCAUAGUCAUUGUCUUUGCGUAUUUAACAGAAUUUGUAAACCUAGGCAAUGUUUCAGCUCUUCGAACUUUCAGAGUGUUGAGAGCUUUGAAAACUAUUUCUGUAAUUCCAGGCCUGAAGACCAUCGUGGGGGCCCUGAUCCAGUCUGUGAAAAAGCUCUCAGAUGUCAUGAUCCUGACUGUGUUCUGUCUGAGCGUGUUUGCCCUGAUUGGGCUGCAGCUCUUUAUGGGCAACCUGAAGCACAAGUGUGUGCAGACUUCACUUGCGAAUAAUGAAACAAUAGAAGACAUAUUGAAUACCCUCGAUGAAGAAGAAUAUGCAAAAUAUUUUUAUUACUUGGAGGGAUCCAAAGAUGCUCUCCUUUGUGGUUUCAGCACCGAUUCAGGUCAGUGUCCUGAAGGGUACACCUGUAAGAAGAUUGGCAGAAAUCCUGACUAUGGCUACACGAGCUUCGAUACUUUCAGUUGGGCCUUCUUGGCCUUGUUUCGGCUAAUGACCCAGGAUUACUGGGAAAACCUUUACCAACAGACCCUGCGUGCUGCUGGGAAAACCUACAUGAUCUUCUUUGUUGUGGUGAUUUUCCUGGGAUCCUUUUAUCUAAUAAACUUGAUCUUGGCUGUUGUUGCCAUGGCCUAUGAAGAACAGAACCAGGCCAACAUUGAAGAAGCGAGGCAGAAAGAGUUGGAAUUUCAGCAGAUGCUAGAUCGACUUAAAAAAGAGCAAGAGGAAGCUGAGGCAAUAGCAUUAGCAGCAGCUGAAUAUACCAGCAUUGGGAGAAGCAGAAUAAUGGGUCUCUCUGAGAGUUCUUCUGAAACAUCCAAACUGAGCUCUAAAAGUGCUAAAGAAAGAAGAAACAGGAGAAGGAAAAAGAACCAAAAGAAACUCUCCAGUGGGGAAGAAAAGGGAGAUGAUGAGAAACUGUCCAAAUCGGAAUCCGAGGAGAGCAUCAGGAGAAAAAGUUUCCACCUUGGUGUUGAAGGUCAUAGGCGAGCACGUGAAAAAAGAUUGUCUACCCCCAACCAGUCACCACUCAGCAUCCGAGGCUCCCUGUUUUCUGCAAGGCGGAGCAGCAGAACAAGUCUUUUCAGCUUCAAAGGUCGAGGAAGAGAUAUUGGAUCUGAGACUGAAUUUGCCGAUGACGAGCACAGCAUCUUUGGUGACAACGAGAGCAGAAGGGGCUCCCUGUUUGUGCCCCACAGACCUCGGGAGCGGCGCAGCAGUAACAUCAGCCAAGCCAGUAGGUCUCCCCCAGUGCUGCCAGUGAAUGGGAAGAUGCACAGCGCUGUCGACUGCAACGGCGUGGUCUCCUUGGUGGAUGGACCUUCCGCCCUCAUGCUACCCAAUGGACAGCUCCUGCCAGAGGUGAUAAUAGAUAAGGCAACUUCUGAUGACAGCGGUACAACCAAUCAAAUAUACAAGAAAAGACGUCACAGUUCUUACCUCCUUUCUGAGGAUAUGUUGAAUGACCCCAAUCUCAGACAAAGGGCAAUGAGUAGGGCAAGCAUAUUAACAAACACUGUAGAAGAACUUGAGGAGUCCAGACAGAAAUGUCCACCUUGGUGGUACAGAUUUGCACACACAUUCUUGAUCUGGAAUUGCUCUCCGUAUUGGAUAAAAUUCAAAAAAUUUAUCUAUUUUAUUGUAAUGGAUCCUUUUGUAGAUCUUGCUAUUACCAUUUGCAUAGUUUUAAACACAUUGUUCAUGGCUAUGGAACAUCACCCAAUGACUGAGGAAUUCAAAAAUGUGCUCGUUGUGGGAAAUUUGGUCUUUACUGGCAUCUUUGCAGCUGAAAUGGUUUUAAAACUAAUUGCCAUGGAUCCAUAUGAGUAUUUCCAAAUAGGAUGGAAUAUUUUUGAUAGUCUUAUCGUGACCUUAAGCUUAGUGGAACUUUUUCUAUCGGAUGUGGAAGGAUUGUCAGUUCUACGAUCAUUCAGACUGCUCCGAGUUUUCAAGUUGGCAAAAUCUUGGCCAACACUGAACAUGCUGAUCAAGAUCAUUGGCAAUUCAGUGGGGGCUCUGGGAAACCUCACCCUGGUGUUGGCCAUCAUCGUCUUCAUUUUUGCCGUGGUCGGCAUGCAGCUCUUUGGUAAGAGCUACAAAGAAUGUGUCUGCAAGAUCAAUGAAGACUGCAAACUCCCUCGCUGGCACAUGAACGACUUCUUCCACUCCUUCCUGAUUGUGUUCCGGGUGCUGUGUGGAGAGUGGAUAGAGACCAUGUGGGACUGCAUGGAGGUCGCCGGGCAAGCCAUGUGCCUUAUUGUUUACAUGAUGGUCAUGGUCAUUGGAAACCUGGUGAGGCUGAACCAAUCAAGUUCCUCAGAGUGCAGCACAGUUGAUAACCCUGUGCCUGGAGAAGGAGAAGAGGCAGAGGCUGAGCCUGUAAAUUCAGAUGAGCCAGAGGCCUGUUUCACAGAUGGUUGUGUACAGAGGUUCCCAUGCUGUCAAGUCAACAUAGAAUCGGGGAAAGGAAAAAUCUGGUGGAACAUCAGGAAAACCUGCUUCAGGAUAGUUGAGCAUAGUUGGUUUGAAAGCUUCAUUGUUCUCAUGAUCUUGCUCAGCAGUGGUGCUCUGGCUUUUGAAGAUAUAUACAUUGAAAAGAAAAAGACCAUUAAGAUUAUCCUGGAGUAUGCUGACAAGAUAUUCACUUAUAUCUUCAUUCUGGAAAUGCUUCUAAAAUGGGUAGCAUAUGGUUACAAAACCUAUUUCACCAAUGCCUGGUGUUGGCUGGAUUUCUUAAUUGUCGAUGUUUCUUUGGUUACAUUAGUUGCAAACACUCUUGGCUACUCAGAUCUUGGUCCCAUUAAAUCCCUCCGGACACUUAGAGCUUUAAGACCUCUGCGAGCUUUAUCUAGAUUUGAAGGAAUGAGGGUGGUUGUGAAUGCACUCAUCGGCGCAAUUCCUUCUAUCAUGAAUGUGCUGCUAGUGUGCCUCAUAUUCUGGCUGAUAUUCAGCAUCAUGGGAGUAAAUUUGUUUGCUGGGAAGUUUUAUGAGUGUAUUAACACCACAAAUGGACUACGGUUUCCUACGAAUGAAGUUGAAAACCGUUCUGCCUGUCUUGCGCUUAUGAAUGUUAGUCAAAAUGUGCGAUGGAAAAACCUAAAAGUGAACUUUGAUAAUGUUGGACUUGGUUACCUGUCUCUACUUCAAGUGGCAACGUUUAAGGGAUGGAUGGAUAUUAUGUAUGCAGCAGUUGAUUCUGUUAACGUAGACAAGCAGCCCAUUUAUGAAUACAGCCUCUACAUGUAUAUUUAUUUUGUCAUCUUCAUCAUCUUUGGGUCAUUCUUCACUUUGAACUUGUUCAUUGGUGUCAUCAUAGAUAAUUUCAACCAACAGAAAAAGAAGCUUGGAGGUCAAGAUAUCUUUAUGACAGAAGAACAGAAGAAAUAUUACAAUGCGAUGAAAAAGCUGGGAUCCAAGAAACCACAAAAGCCAAUACCUCGGCCAGGGAACAAAUUCCAAGGAUGUAUCUUUGACCUAGUAACAAACCAAGCUUUUGAUAUAGCCAUCAUGGUUCUGAUCUGCCUCAACAUGGUAACCAUGAUGGUAGAAAAAGAGGGACAAAGUGAAUACAUGACUGAAGUUUUAUAUUGGAUCAAUGUGGUUUUUAUUAUCCUGUUCUCUGGAGAAUGUGUGCUGAAACUGAUCUCUCUCAGAUGCUACUACUUCACUGUAGGCUGGAACAUCUUCGAUUUUGUGGUUGUAAUUCUCUCCAUUGUAGGUAUGUUUCUGGCAGAUUUGAUAGAAAGGUAUUUUGUGUCCCCUACCCUAUUCCGAGUGAUCCGUCUUGCCAGGAUUGGCCGAAUCCUGCGUCUGAUCAAAGGGGCCAAGGGGAUCCGCACACUGCUCUUUGCUUUGAUGAUGUCCCUUCCUGCGCUGUUUAACAUCGGCCUCCUGCUCUUCCUGGUCAUGUUCAUCUAUGCCAUCUUUGGAAUGUCCAACUUCGCCUAUGUUAAAAAGGAAGCUGGAAUUAAUGACAUGUUCAACUUUGAGACCUUUGGCAACAGCAUGAUCUGCCUGUUCCAGAUUACCACCUCUGCUGGCUGGGAUGGAUUGCUAGCGCCUAUCCUCAACAGUGCACCACCGGACUGUGACCCCAAAAAAGUUCACCCUGGAAGCUCAGUUGAAGGAGACUGUGGGAACCCAUCUGUCGGGAUAUUCUAUUUCGUCAGUUACAUCAUCAUAUCAUUUCUGGUCGUAGUGAACAUGUACAUCGCUGUCAUCCUGGAGAACUUCAGUGUUGCUACUGAGGAAAGUACUGAGCCCCUGAGUGAGGACGAUUUUGAGAUGUUCUAUGAGGUUUGGGAGAAGUUUGAUCCAGAUGCGACUCAAUUUAUAGAAUAUAGCAAACUCUCUGACUUUGCAGCUGCACUGGAUCCUCCUCUUCUCAUAGCAAAACCAAACAAAGUCCAGCUCAUUGCCAUGGACCUGCCCAUGGUCAGUGGGGACAGGAUCCACUGCCUUGACAUCUUAUUUGCUUUUACAAAGCGUGUUUUGGGGGAAGGUGGAGAGAUGGACUCUCUUCGUUCACAGAUGGAAGAAAGGUUCAUGUCUGCAAAUCCUUCUAAAGUGUCUUAUGAGCCCAUCACAACUACACUAAAAAGAAAGCAAGAGGAUGUGUCUGCUACAGUUAUUCAGCGUGCUUACAGACGUUACCGCUUACGGCAACAUGUCAAAAAUAUAUCAAGUAUAUACAUCAAAGAUGGUGACAGAGAUGAUGAUUUGCCCAAUAAAGAACAUAUGGUUUUUGAUAAUGUUAAUGAGAACUCAAGUCCAGAAAAAACAGAUGCAACUCCAUCCACUGUCUCUCCACCUUCAUAUGAUAGUGUAACAAAACCAGACAGAGAGAAAUAUGAAAAAGACAAAACAGAAAAGGAAGACAAAGGGAAAGAUGGCAAGGAAGGCAAAAAAUAG